GUUUUAUUUUUUAUUUUGAUGGCAAAGUUUAAAAAACUAAGUCUGUUUUAUUUUUUCCAAGGCUUUUUCUCUUCCCAAGUUCCCUACCUCUGCAUCCUUCAUUGGAAAAAAAAAUGGAAGCUUCUACUUUUGGAGGUCCUUCUAGAUCUGAUGAAGCUCUACUUUUGUAUAUGUUUGUUUGGUGAAAUUUUCUGGGUUUUUCUCAGUGAUGAUAGACGGGCAGAGGCUGCUAGGAUCCGACAGAAAUACCAAGAUAGAAUUCCAUUCCUCUUGGUGUUGCUGUCUUCUUCUCAAAUCUGUGGCGGUUGUUGCCGUUUGCCGAGUUUUGUUUGUUUGUUGCAUUUCAUAGAUUUGGGUAUAAUUAAGUGUUUGUUGUUGUAUUUCAUAGAAUAAUUGUUUGGUUCUUGUAAA